rnacentral:pre_miRNA from 1 species
GAUAUACUCCCUCCAUCCAGAAAUACUUGUCGGAGAAAUGGAUGUAUCUAAACGUAUUUUAGUUUUAGAUACAUUCAUUUCUUCGACAAGUAUUUCCGGACGGAGGGAGUACAUG